rnacentral:rRNA from 1 species
CAACAGGGAUUGCCCCAGUAACGGCGAGUGAAGCGGCAACAGCUCAGAUUUGAAAUCUGGCCCCCAGGGCCCGAGUUGUAAUCUGUAGAGGAUGUUUCUGGCAAGGCGCCGUCCGAGUUCCCUGGAACGGGACGCCGGAGAGGGUGAGAGCCCCGUACAGGCGGACGCCGAGCCUCUGUGAAGCUCCUUCGACGAGUCGAGUAGUUUGGGAAUGCUGCUCAAAGCGGGAGGUAAAUUUCUUCUAAAGCUAAAUAUAGGCCAGAGACCGAUAGCGCACAAGUAGAGUGAUCGAAAGAUGAAAAGCACUUUGAAAAGAGGGUUAAAAAGCACGUGAAAUUGUUGAAAGGGAAGCGCCUGUGACCAGACUCGCGCCCGGCGGAUCAUCCGGCGUUCUCGCCGGUGCACUCCGCCGGGCUCGGGCCAGCAUCGGUUCUGGCGGGGGGAUAAAGGCGGCGGGGAUGUGGCUCCCCCGGGAGUGUUAUAGCCCGCCGCUCAAUGCCCCCGCGGGGACCGAGGACCGCGCGUUUGCAAGGAUGCUGGCGUAAUGGUCACCAGCGACCCGUCUUGAAACACGGACCAAGGAGUCAAGCAUUAGGGCGAGUGUUUGGGUGUGAAACCCGCACGCGAAAUGAAAGUGAACGCAGGUGGGAGCCUCGGCGCACCAUCGACCGAUCCUGAUGUCCUCGGAUGGAUUUGAGUAAGAGCCUUAACGCUUGGACCCGAAAGAUGGUGAACUAUGCUUGUGUAGGGUGAAGCCAGAGGAAACUCUGGUGGAGGCUCGCAGCGGUUCUGACGUGCAAAUCGAUCGUCAAACAUGAGCAUGGGGGCGAAAGACUAAUCGAACCAUCUAGUAGCUGGUUACCGCCGAAGUUUCCCUCAGGAUAGCAGUGUUGUUUUCAGUUUUAUGAGGUAAAGCGAAUGAUUAGGGACCCGGGGGCGCUAUCUAGCCUUCAUCCAUUCUCAAACUUUAAAUAUGUAAGAAGCCCUUGUUGCUUAGU